rnacentral:rRNA from 1 species
GGAACGACACUAACAAUCCUUCGGGUGCGUUAAUGGGCGUCGAGCGGCGGACGGGUGAGUAAUGCCUAGGAAAUUGCCUUGAUGUGGGGGAUAACCAUUGGAAACGAUGGCUAAUACCGCAUAAUGCCUACGGGCCAAAGAGGGGGACCUUCGGGCCUCUCGCGUCAAGAUAUGCCUAGGUGGGAUUAGCUAGUUGGUGAGGUAAUGGCUCACCAAGGCGACGAUCCCUAGCUGGUCUGAGAGGAUGAUCAGCCACACUGGAACUGAGACACGGUCCAGACUCCUACGGGAGGCAGCAGUGGGGAAUAUUGCACAAUGGGCGAAAGCCUGAUGCAGCCAUGCCGCGUGUAUGAAGAAGGCCUUCGGGUUGUAAAGUACUUUCAGUUGUGAGGAAGGGGGUANCGUUAAUAGCGNUAUCUCUUGACGUUAGCAACAGAAGAAGCACCGGCUAACUCCGUGCCAGCAGCCGCGGUAAUACGGAGGGUGCGAGCGUUAAUCGGAAUUACUGGGCGUAAAGCGCAUGCAGGUGGUUCAUUAAGUCAGAUGUGAAAGCCCGGGGCUCAACCUCGGAACUGCAUUUGAAACUGGUGAACUAGAGUACUGUAGAGGGGGGUAGAAUUUCAGGUGUAGCGGUGAAAUGCGUAGAGAUCUGAAGGAAUACCNGUGGCGAAGGCGGCCCCCUGGACAGAUACUGACACUCNNAUGCNAAAGCGUGGGGAGCAAACNGGAUUAGAUAC